rnacentral:tRNA from 1 species
AAAAUAAGUCAAGAGGUAGUUUAGGGCCCAGAAUUUUGGCUUUGGGUGCCAGUGGCGGAAGUGAAAAUCUUUCCCUCUUGA